UGUUAUUGGGGGAGGCAUUGCCUGCCCAGUGACAACUGUUUAACGGCCGCGGUAUCCUGACCGUGCAAAGGUAGCAUAAUCAUUUGUUCUCUAAAUAAGGACUUGUAUGAAUGGCCGCACGAGGGUUUUACUGUCUCUUACUUCCAAUCAGUGAAAUUGACCUUCCCGUGAAGAGGCGGGAAUGCACAAAUAAGACGAGAAGACCCUAUGGAGCUUUAACUAACCAACCCAAAGAGAAUAGAUUUAACCAUUAAGGAAUAACAACAAUCUCCAUGAGUUGGUAGUUUCGGUUGGGGUGACCUCGGAGAAUAAAAAAUCCUCCGAGCGAUUUUAAAGACUAGACCCACAAGUCAAAUCACUCUAUCGCUCAUUGAUCCAAAAACUUGAUCAACGGAACAAGUUACCCUAGGGAUAACAGCGCAAUCCUAUUCAAGAGUCCAUAUCGACAAUAGGGUUUACGACCUCGAUGUUGGAUCAGGACAUCCUGAUGGUGCAACCGCUAUCAAAGGUUCGUUUGUUCAACGAUUAAAGUCCUACGUGAUCUGAGUUCAGACCGGA
rnacentral:rRNA from 1 species